UACGGGGGGAGCAAGCGUUGUUCGGAUUUACUGGGCGUAAAGGGCGCGUAGGCGGUCAGCACAAGUCAGUUGUGAAAUCUCCGAGCUUAACUCGGAAAGGUCAACUGAUACUGUGCGACUAGAGUGCGGAAGGGGCAACUGGAAUUCUUGGUGUAGCGGUGAAAUGCGUAGAUAUCAAGAGGAACACCUGCGGCGAAGGCGGGUUGCUGGGCUGACACUGACGCUGAAGCGCGAAAGCCAGGGGAGCGAACGGG
rnacentral:rRNA from 1 species